AAAGCUUAAUACCCAGUAACACAUAAGAGAACUAAAAAUGGAAGAAAUCCCAGUUCAGGCAUACUUGAAAAGAUGUUGUUGGGUUUGGUUCCAGACUAUAAUAAUAAAGUAAAUAUCACAAUGAAGUCAUACAAUUGAUUUCUUUUCUACAAUAUGUUACUUUUCUAUU